AACGAACGCUGGCGGCAUGCCUAAUACAUGCAAGUCGAACGAUCACUUCGGUGGUAGUGGCGCACGGGUGCGUAACGCGUGGAUAAUCUGCCCUUAAGUGUGGAAUAACGUACCGAAAGGUGCGCUAAUACCGCAUAAUGCCUGGCAACAUAAGUUGUCCGGCCAAAGAAGGCCUCUGCUUGCAAGCUUUCGCUAAAGGAUGAGUCCGCGUACCAUUAGCUAGUUGGUGGGGUAACGGCCUACCAAGGCGACGAUGGUUAGCUGGUCUGAGAGGAUGAUCAGCCACACUGGAACUGAGACACGGUCCAGACUCCUACGGGAGGCAGCAGUGAGGAAUAUUGCGCAAUGGGGGCAACCCUGACGCAGCAACGCCGCGUGAGUGAGGAAGGUUUUCGGACUGUAAAGCUCUGUCGAGCGGGAAGAAGUGUACCAUGGCUAAUAUCCAUGAUAUUUGACGGUACCGCUAGAGGAAGCACCGGCUAACUCCGUG
rnacentral:rRNA from 1 species